GAUGAAGAACGUAGCGAAACGCGAUAGUUAAUGUGAAUUGCAGAAUUCAGUGAAUCAUCGAGUCUUUGAACGCACAUUGCGCCCCCUGGUAUUCCGGGGGGCAUGCCUGUCCGAGCGUCAUUGCUGCCCAUCAAGCGCGGCUUGUGUGUUGGGCCGCCGUCCGCCUUCCCCCCCGGGGGGAGGGGGACGGGCCCGAAAGGCAGCGGCGGCACCGCGUCCGGUCCUCGAGCGUAUGGGGCUCUGUCACCCGCUCUGGAGGCCCGGCCGGCGCCCGCCGACCCCCAACCUUCUUCUAACCAGGUUGACCUCGUAUCAGGUAGGGAUACCCGCUGAACUUAAGCAUAUCAAAAAGCGGAGGA
rnacentral:misc_RNA from 1 species